UGUGGUAUAACUAUUCCCAUCAUGGCCUAUUUGAAGUUACCAGUUGAAGUCACUAAACACAGAAUUGGGAGGAAAUCCAGCUUUUGUAAGUUGUUGUGAGGCAGCUCCAGGACACCACUGAAACAGCCCGCUGGUAAAGAUAUAUUUUUUAAAUUAUCCUAAUUUCAAUGUGCUAACUGAUUCCCAUGGAUUCCAGGCUGAUACUGAUACCAUCGUGGAACACUGUUCACUCAGAGAAAGGAGCUUUCUUUUCUAUAGGACUUGAAUCUGUGAGGCCAUAAGCCUAGAACUUCAGAAGCUAUUUGAAAAUACUGCUAAGAGACGGAGGGGGACACAUGCUUGGUGGUAUCAUUGGAAGCCCCUGAUACAGCCAUGCUUGAAAGGAACUGUGCCUUGGCCUUUUCAGGAAUAUGAACUAAUACAUUCUCUCUUUUUGUGUUGUUUAUAUCGCAUAAGCCGGUUUCGUUGGGAUUCUACCACCCGCACACAGAAGAUUCCUUAGGGAUGUAAUGGCAUGGCAUGACCUGGCCCUUUCCGGAUGGUAACCACCGUCUUCUUGAUUUCGGAUCCCAGCCACACUGGUCUUCUUUCCAUCACUCAGAAGCUCCUGGUGCCCCUCUGCCAGAAUCGCUUUGCAUGUAGUAUUGCCCUGCCCGAAGCAUUCUUCCACCCUCUGCUUAGUUUACUCCCACUCAUUUUCCAGAUCCUGUCUAACGUCACCCUGGUAGUUUGUUACAACGUGGCCCCGGAUGAGUUACGCCUUCCAAUAUUUGUGUAGUCCCGUCCCCUUGGCUCGGGGCUUGCCCUGUGAUGCCGUAACCAAUUGGAUUCAGCACAUAAUGAUGCUGUGCCAGUUUCAAGCCUAAGACUUAAGAGAGGUGGCAGCUUCUGAUUAUGUGCUCUUGAGCCCACGUGUGGGUGGUCUGAUUCCCCUGCUGGAGAGACCAGAUGGAGAGAGUCUAGCAGCAUCUCAUCCCAUGUGCCAGCUGAAUACAGCCACCUGAGUGGUGGUCAAGACCAGCAAAGAAACGGAGCUGAACCCAAAUGACAAAAUUGGUCUCCUUCCUGUGAUAAAUUCAAGAGCCCCAGGAAUAUUUACCCGACUCAAACUCACCCGUCCUGGUGAUGGAGGUUAUGAAAUUAGGUCUGCCUGCCCCAGGACCUGGUACUCUGCUUCCAUCCUGUUAAACGUGUGGCCGAUCCUCUGAAUGCAGGUUCUGUAGGAGCUUUUGCCCAGAAAUUUAGGACAUUGAAGGCCCUCCAUUUCCCCCACUUCCCAAUCUGUGAUUCUACUUUCAAGCAUUAGGCAACAUUAAUAGGAAAACUAGAUUGGAAAAGAUUCAUGGUUUGCAGGUUUACAGUAUUGAGAUUUACGCAGCAGGUUCUUUCAAAGUAUGCUUAAGGGAAUCAAUCUGUGACUGACUUUGGCAAUCUUACAAAGUACAGAGACUUCCAGUUCUAAAGGAUUUUGUGGUGAGUCAUUAAGUUGGAACAGAAAAUCCAUACCAGUAAUAAAUCUUUGUAGAAGUACUCUAUGUUCUUUUAAAAAUUGAUUGUUUCUAGGUGGCUACUUCAACCACCAUUAUGAAAAGAAUAGAUUUCUGUUAUAAUAUAAAAUGAUGCUUUCUGAGAAA